GCCAACGAGUGGCGGACGGGUGAGUAACACGUAGGUAACCUGCCCAGAAGCGGGGGACAACAUUUGGAAACAGAUGCUAAUACCGCAUAACAGCGUUGUUCGCAUGAACAACGCUUAAAAGAUGGCUUCUCGCUAUCACUUCUGGAUGGACCUGCGGUGCAUUAGCUUGUUGGUGGGGUAACGGCCUACCAAGGCGAUGAUGCAUAGCCGAGUUGAGAGACUGAUCGGCCACAAUGGGACUGAGACACGGCCCAUACUCCUACGGGAGGCAGCAGUAGGGAAUCUUCCACAAUGGGCGCAAGCCUGAUGGAGCAACACCGCGUGAGUGAAGAAGGGUUUCGGCUCGUAAAGCUCUGUUGUUAAAGAAGAACACGUAUGAGAGUAACUGUUCAUACGUUGACGGUAUUUAACCAGAAAGUCACGGCUAACUACGUGCCAGCAGCCGCGGUAAUACGUAGGUGGCAAGCGUUAUCCGGAUUUAUUGGGCGUAAAGAGAGUGCAGGCGGUUUUCUAAGUCUGAUGUGAAAGCCUUCGGCUUAACCGGAGAAGUGCAUCGGAAACUGGAUAACUUGAGUGCAGAAGAGGGUAGUGGAACUCCAUGUGUAGCGGUGGAAUGCGUAGAUAUAUGGAAGAACACCAGUGGCGAAGGCGGCUACCUGGUCUGCAACUGACGCUGAGACUCGAAAGCAUGGGUAGCGAACAGGAUUAGAUACCCUGGUAGUCCAUGCCGUAAACGAUGAGUGCUAGGUGUUGGAGGGUUUCCGCCCUUCAGUGCCGGAGCUAACGCAUUAAGCACUCCGCCUGGGGAGUACGACCGCAAGGUUGAAACUCAAAGGAAUUGACGGGGGCCCGCACAAGCGGUGGAGCAUGUGGUUUAAUUCGAAGCUACGCGAAGAACCUUACCAGGUCUUGACAUCUUGCGCCAACCCUAGAGAUAGGGCGUUUCCUUCGGGAACGCAAUGACAGGUGGUGCAUGGUCGUCGUCAGCUCGUGUCGUGAGAUGUUGGGUUAAGUCCCGCAACGAGCGCAACCCUUGUUACUAGUUGCCAGCAUUAAGUUGGGCACUCUAGUGAGACUGCCGGUGACAAACCGGAGGAAGGUGGGGACGACGUCAGAUCAUCAUGCCCCUUAUGACCUGGGCUACACACGUGCUACAAUGGACGGUACAACGAGUCGCGAACUCGCGAGGGCAAGCAAAUCUCUUAAAACCGUUCUCAGUUCGGACUGCAGGCUGCAACUCGCCUGCACGAAGUCGGAAUCGCUAGUAAUCGCGGAUCAGCAUGCCGCGGUGAAUACGUUCCCGGGCCUUGUACACACCGCCCGUCACACCAUGAGAGUUUGUAACACCCAAAGUCGGUGGGGUAACCUUUUAGGAGCCAGCCGCCUAAGGUGGGACAGAUGAUUAGGGUGAAGUCGUAACAAGGUAGCCGUAGGAGAACCUGCGGCUG
rnacentral:rRNA from 1 species